CAUAUAUGUAUUAUUAAAUUAAAAAAUGACACACAUAUUGGCUCUGUGGUAUGUAUAUCUGGAAAUACCGGUGUCACACUUGAGAUGAUUCCACUGGUCACAGC